rnacentral:rRNA from 1 species
CAUGCCUUACACAUGCAAGUCGAACGGCAGCAUAGGAGCUUGCUCCUGAUGGCGAGUGGCGAACGGGUGAGUAAUAUAUCGGAACGUGCCCUAGAGUGGGGGAUAACUAGUCGAAAGAUUAGCUAAUACCGCAUACGAUCUACGGAUGAAAGUGGGGGAUCGCAAGAACUCAUGCUCCUGGAGCGGCCGAUAUCUGAUUAGCUAGUUGGUGGGGUAAAAGCCUACCAAGGCGACGAUCAGUAGCUGGUCUGAGAGGACGACCAGCCACACUGGGACUGAGACACGGCCAGACUCCUACGGGAGGCAGCAGUGGGGAAUUUUGGACAAUGGGGCAACCCUGAUCACAAUGACGCGUGAGUGAAAAAGGCCUUCGGGUUGUAAAGCUCUUUUGUCAGGGAAGAAACGGUUUCGGCUAAUUAUCCAGAACUAAUGACGUCGUACCUGAAGAAUAAGCACCGGCUAACUACGUGCCAGCCAGCCGCGGUAAUACGUAGGGUGCAAGCGUUAAUCGUAAUUACUGGGCGUAAAGCGUGCCCAGGCGGUUGAUGUAGAACAGAUGUGAAAUCCCCGGGCUCACCUGGGAUUGCAUUUGUGACUGCACGGCUAGAGUGUGUCAGAGGGGGGUAGAAUUCCACGUGUAGCAGUGAAAUGCGUAGAUAUGUGGAGGAAUACCGAUGGCGACAGGCAGCCCCCUGGGAUAACACUGACGCUCAUGCACGAAAGCGUGGGGAGCAGACAGGAUUAGAUACCCUGGUAGUCCACGCCCUAAACGAUGUCUACUAGUUGUCGGGUCUUAAUUGACUUGGUAACGCAGCUAACGCGUGAAGUAGACCGCCUGGGGAGUACGUCGCAAGAUUAAAACUCAAAGGAAUUGACGGGGACCCGCACAAGCGGUGGAUGAUGUGGAUUAAUUCGAUGCAACGCGAAAAACCUUACCUACCCUUGACAUGGUCGGAAUCCCGAAGAGAUUUGGGAGUGCUCGAAAGAGAACCGGCGCACAGGUGCUGCAUGGCUGUCGCGAGCUCGUGUCGUGAGAUGUUGGGUUAAGUCCCGCAACGAGCACAACCCUUGUCAUAAGUUGCUACGAAAGGGCACUCUAAUGAGACUGCCGGUGACAAACCGGAGGAAGGUGGGCAUGACAUCAAUUCCUCAUGGCCGUUAUGGUAGGGCAUCACACGUCAUACAAUGGUACAUACAGAGGGCCGCCAACCCGCGAGGGGGAGCUAAUCCCAGAAAGUGUAUCGUAGUCCGGAUUGGAGUCUGCAACUCGACUCCAUGAAGUUGGAAUCGCUAGUAAUCGCGGAUCAGCAUGUCGCGAUGAAUACGUUCCCGGGUCUUGUACACACCGCCCGUCACACCAUGGGAGCGGGUUUUACCAGAAGUGGUAGCACUAACCGCUAGGAGGGCGCUCACCACGGUAGGAUUCGU